rnacentral:rRNA from 1 species
AGCAGGAGAGGGCGGUGGAACUCCAUGUGUAGCGGUAAAAUGCGUAGAUAUAUGGAAGAACACCAGUGGCGAAGGCGGCCGCCUGGCCUGUUGCUGACGCUGAGGCACGAAAGCGUGGGGAGCAAAUAGGAUUAGAUACCCUAGUAGUCCACGCCGUAAACGAUGAGGACCAAGUGUUGGGGGUGAAACCUCAGUGCUGAAGUUAACGCAGUGAGUCCUCCGCCUGGGGAGUAUGCACGCAAGUGUGAAACUCAAAGGAAUUGACGGGGGCCCGCACAAGCGGUGGAGUAUGUGGUUUAAUUCGAAGCAACGCGAAGAACCUUACCAGGCCUUGACAUGGGAUGCGAAGACGCAGAGAUGCGUUGGAGGCAAACAUCCACACAGGUGGUGCAUGGUUGUCGUCAGCUCGUGUCGUGAGAUGUUGGGUCAAGUCCCGCAACGAGCGCAACCCUUGUGGCAUGUUGCUAACAGGAAAGCUGAGGACUCAUGCCAGACUGCCGGUGACAAACCGGAGGAAGGCGGGGAUGACGUCAAAUCAUCAUGCCCCUUAUGGCCUGGGCUACACACGUACUACAAUGGCGGCUACAAAGAGCGGCGAGACAGUAAUGUCGAGCGAAUCUCACAAAAGCCGUCCCAGUUCGGAUUGGAGCCUGCAACCCGGCUCCAUGAAGUUGGAAUCGCUAGUAAUCGCGGAUCAGCAUGCCGCGGUGAAUACGUUCCCGGGCCUUGCACUCACCGCCCGUCAA